UACGAAGGGGGCUAGCGUUGCUCGGAAUUACUGGGCGUAAAGGGCGCGUAGGCGGCCCGCUAAGUCGAACGUGAAAUCCCCGAGCUCAACUCGGGAACUGCGUCCGAUACUGGCGGGCUUGAAUCCGGGAGAGGGAUGCGGAAUUCCAGGUGUAGCGGUGAAAUGCGUAGAUAUCUGGAGGAACACCGGUGGCGAAGGCGGCAUCCUGGACCGGCAUUGACGCUGAGGCGCGAAAGCUAGGGGAGCAAACGGG
rnacentral:rRNA from 1 species